rnacentral:rRNA from 1 species
CCCGCACAAGCGGCGGAGCAUGCGGAUUAAUUCGAAGCAACGCGAAGAACCUUACCAGGUCUUGACAUCCCGAUGCUAUUUCUAGAGAUAGAAAGUACUUCGGUACAUCGGUGACAGGUGGUGCAUGGUUGUCGUCAGCUCGUGUCGUGAGAUGUUGGGUUAAGUCCCGCAACGAGCGCAACCCCUAUUGUUAGUUGCCAUCAUUCAGUUGGGCACUCUAGCGAGACUGCCGGUAAUAAACCGGAGAAGUGGGGAUGACGUCAAAUCAUCAUGCCCCUUAUGACCUGGGCUACACACGUGCUACAAUGGUUGGUACAACGAGUUGCGAGUCGGUGACGGCGAGCUAAUCUCUUAAAGCCAAUCUCAGUUCGGAUUGUAGGCUGCAACUCGCCUACAUGAAGUCGGAAUCGCUAGUAAUCGCGGAUCAGCACGCCGCGGUGAAUACGUUCCCGGGCCUU